AGUGAACGCUGGCGGUAGGCCUAACACAUGCAAGUCGAACGGCAGCACAGUAAGAGCUUGCUCUUACGGGUGGCGAGUGGCGGACGGGUGAGGAAUACAUCGGAAUCUACUUUUUCGUGGGGGAUAACGUAGGGAAACUUACGCUAAUACCGCAUACGACCUACGGGUGAAAGCAGGGGAUCUUCGGACCUUGCGCGAUUGAAUGAGCCGAUGUCGGAUUAGCUAGUUGGCGGGGUAAAGGCCCACCAAGGCGACGAUCCGUAGCUGGUCUGAGAGGAUGAUCAGCCACACUGGAACUGAGACACGGUCCAGACUCCUACGGGAGGCAGCAGUGGGGAAUAUUGGACAAUCGGCGCAAGCCUGAUCCAGCCAUACCGCGUGGGUGAAGAAGGCCUUCGGGUUGUAAAGUCCUUUUGUUGGGAAAGAAAAGCAGCAGGUUAAUACCCCGCUGUUCUGACGGUACCCAAAGAAUAAGCACCGGCUAACUUCGUG
rnacentral:rRNA from 1 species